rnacentral:rRNA from 1 species
AGCAGUGGGGAAUAUUGGACAAUGGGCGCAAGCCUGAUCCAGCCAUGCCGCGUGAGUGAUGAAGGCCUUAGGGUUGUAAAGCUCUUUUGUCCGGGACGAUAAUGACGGUACCGGAAGAAUAAGCCCCGGCUAACUUCGUGCCAGCAGCCGCGGUAAUACGAAGGGGGCUAGCGUUGCUCGGAAUCACUGGGCGUAAAGGGCGCGUAGGCGGUCUUUUAAGUCGGGGGUGAAAGCCUGUGGCUCAACCACAGAAUUGCCUUCGAUACGGGAGACUUGAGUUCGGUAGAGGUUGGUGGAACUGCGAGUGUAGAGGUGAAAUUCGUAGAUAUUCGCAAGAACACCGGUGGCGAAGGCGGCCAACUGGGACCGACACUGACGCUGAGG